UCUUUAUUUCAUGUCUGUGGGGAGUUUGCUCAUGUGGGAUUCCUGUAGAUACUCUGGUUUCCAACCAAGCUUCCAACAACAUGCAGAAGGUGGAUUGGCUCUAGGUAACCACAUGAAUGUGUAAAAAUGAACUGGGCCCCAGGACGGAACCUCACACCUAGACUGGAGGUGAAGAUCAACCUCAGAUGGUCAUAUGGACACAUUUAAGUAAAUGUGUGUUGCCCUGAGAUUGAUUGCCACCCUGUACAGGAUGUAUUUCUGCUUUGCACACAGCCUCUGGAUUGCACAGGACCCGCUGCACCCCUGGUGGCGCUAGUAUUUGAGUGGCUUUAUUUAGGAUGAGAAAAACAGGAGGAUCAGCUCCCUCUAGUGGACCUAACCAAGCCUACUAUCAAUCUGACAGAGCACAGCCCCAACUCCAUGCCACCCGGUCACUGACCUCUGAGAUCUUUCCACUCGUUCAGCACCAGUGGGUGGGUGACACCUGAGCUGGAGCUUGUUGGAAAUCCUAUUCCAAUACCAGGAGCUGGCUUCCCUUUGCAGCUAUAACAGCCUCCAUUCUUCUGAAUGACUUUCUGUAACAUUUUGUCUGUCUGUCUUUGGGAAUUGCAUCUGUCCCGUUUAUGUUCGGUAGGGUUGAGGUCAGGGCUCUGUGCAGACCACAGAAGUUCCUCCACACCGCUCUCAUAAAUCUGGUUUGGACCCUGCUUUAUGCACAGGAGCAAAUCAAAUACAGGUCAUACAUGUUAUAACUAGCAGUAAAAUGCUUUUUUAUAACUGCCCGGUCACAUUUAGUACUAA